rnacentral:rRNA from 1 species
UACGUAGGUGGCGAGCGUUGUCCGGAAUUACUGGGUGUAAAGCGCGUGUAGGCGGGAGGCCAAGUCUGCGGUGAAAUCGCUCGGCUUAACUGGGCGGGGUCCAUGGUAACUGGUCACCUGGAGGUCGGUAGAGGCAAGUGGAAUUCCCGGUGUAGUGGUGAAAUGCGUAGAGAUCGGGAGGAACACCAGUGGCGAAGGCGGCUUGCUGGGCCGGACCUGACGCUGAGACGCGAAGGCGUGGGGAGCGAACGGG